AACGAGCGCUGGCGGCAUGCCUAACACAUGCAAGUCGAACGAAGGCUUCGGCCUUAGUGGCGCACGGGUGAGUAACGCGUGGGAAACUGCCUAUUGGUGGGGAAUAACGACGGGAAACUGUCGCUAAUACCGCAUAAGCCCUUCGGGGGAAAGAUUUAUCGCCGAUAGAUGUGCCCGCGUCCGAUUAGCCAGUUGGUGAGGUAAUGGCUCACCAAGGCGACGAUCGGUAGCUGGUCGGAGAGGAUGAUCAGCCACACUGGGACUGGGACACGGCCCAGACUCCUACGGGAGGCAGCAGUGGGGAAUAUUGGACAAUGGGCGAAAGCCUGAUCCAGCAAUGCCGCGUGAGUGAUGAAGGCCUUAGGGUUGUAAAGCUCUUUCGGGUGGGACGAUGAUGACGGUACCACCAGAAGAAGCCCCGGCUAACUUCGUGCCAGCCGCCGCAGUAA
rnacentral:rRNA from 1 species